rnacentral:rRNA from 1 species
GACGAACGCUGGCGGCGUGCUUAAUACAUGCCAGUAGGCCGCAGUUGCGUACGGGGGAGUAACGCGUAGGUAACUACCUAUUUUAGGGGGAUAACUCUUGGGAACGAUAGCUAAUACCGCAUACUAGUAGAUGGACCUGCGUUGUAUUAGCUAGUAGGUAGGGUAAUGGCCUACCUAGGCAACGAUACAUAGCCGCCCGGGUAGGUGGAUCGGCCACACCGGGACUGAGGAACGGCCCAUACUCCUACGGGAGGCAGCAGGAGGGAAUCUUCGGCAAUGGGGGGAACGCUGACCGAGCAACGCCGCGUGAGUGAAGAAGGGGUCGGGAUCGUAAAGGUCUGUGGUUAAGGAAGCGGUAAUUAACCAGAAUGGGACGGCUAACUACGUGCCAGCAGCCGCGGUAAUUC